AGCAAUCACACCAUCACAUCAUCUCAUCAAAGCAAGUUCCCCUCUUCUCCUUUUUCUUCUCCAUUCGGCAGCCCCUCCCCUCUUCACUUCACCUCACUUUCUUUUUGUUCCACCAAAUAUAGUAAGAACUAAGGUUUCUUAAAGUGUUCAUCUUCAAGCUCAAGCUCCAAGCAUACUACGCAUCAUCUUCUACUCCACCUCCAUUGAUCUUGUUGGUUCGAGUGACGGCUGGCGUUAGUACGACUCUGAGCGUUACGUCAUCGACCCCGGAGACAGGUCUGGCUUGGCGCGAGGAUGGGUGAAAGCUGUUGGAAUUGUCAGUUGGCUGUGUCUUUCCUAUGUCUCAUAUUUAUCUUUAUAAGCUUUGACUCUAUAAGAAUUUGAACUCCCUGCUAUAUGUCUUCACACAUAUAGUAACGCAUCUCGCUGCAUAACUCUGAUGAAACUCUUUAUUUAAUUUGCUUAUGCCUGUAAUAUCCCUUAAGGGAAAUACUUCUCAAACCCUUGCUAAGUUUCAAUGGCUUUAUUAUGUUU